UGCAGAGGUCUCAACCGUUGUUCGGAUUCAUUGGGCGUAAAGGGUGCGUAGGCGGUCGCGCAAGUCGGAUGUGAAAUCUCAGGGCUCAACCCUGAAACUGCAUUCGAUACUGCGUGGCUAGAGUGCUGGAGAGGAGACUGGAAUUUACGGUGUAGCAGUGAAAUGCGUAGAUAUCGUAAGGAAGACCAGUGGCGAAGGCGAGUCUCUGGACAGCAACUGACGCUGAGGCACGAAGGCCAGGGGGAGCAAACGGG
rnacentral:rRNA from 1 species